CGAACGGGUGCGUAACACGUAAAGAACCUAUCCAAGAGCGGGGAUAGCCUUUGGAAACGAGGGGUAAUACCGCAUACGGUACAUUUAAGGCAUCUUAGAUGUAGGAAAGGGGUACGAAAGUAUCUCACUCAUGGAGGGCUUUGCGGCCUAUCAGGUAGUUGGUGGGGUCACGGCCUACCAAGCCAAAGACGGGUAGCUGGUCUGAGAGGACGAUCAGCCACACUGGGAUUGAGAACGGCCCAG
rnacentral:rRNA from 1 species